AACACUGUUAACCUGCGGUACCUGCGGAGGGAUCAUUACCGACACCUGCCAGCAGCGAACGAGCGAAGCGAGUGAGCGCUGGCAUGGUGGAGCCAAAGCCAAAGAAUAGCCCUAAGGCAAAGCAGUAUCCACUGUUGCCUGCGGCGCUUUUUUUCUGGCAGGUCUUCGACCUGGCACCUGGUUCCAAUAAGAACAAACUACAAACAAAAAUUCAACCUCAUACAAAAUUACAACUUUCAA
rnacentral:misc_RNA from 1 species